rnacentral:lncRNA from 1 species
AGACUUCCGGCCUUGGAGAAGAAGGGGGCCUGGCCCCAGGUGCUGAGGGAUGGGAAAGGAGUGACCUUUCAAUGUAGGAAACUUGGAGAUAAAGAAAACGGAGCCUCUGAGAGGUGAUGUGGCUGGCCCAGUCACAUAGCUAUCAGAGAUGGAGUAGGAUUUGAACCCACAUCUUGACUCUAGAGGCCAGGCUCUGAAGAGGCCAGGCUCUGAACAACCGUACAGUCACCCCGUUAUGGGGCCUCUGCUCCAGACCUCGGCUGCCUGCCUGACUCAGCAACUGUGGGUGGCCUCGCUUCUGUGCGUAGGCAGGAGAGCCAGCGAAAACCAAAUAUGGCCAGACCAGGCCCUCCAAGCUGACCCCUGAGCUGGGCUUGCUUCUGACUGCUCAUCUGUGCUGUGGGGCCCUCCCCCCUGUGUAACCUCCUGGCUCUGCCCCGGAGGACGCUGGGAGAGCCUCCAUUCAGACCCCUCUCCUAAUAGGAGCUUGUUGAGCAAGUUACUGAAAGAGAACAUGUGAGAUCAGUGUCUCAUCCAUGUCACAAUAACCAGCUCUUAUGCAUCCUUCAGUGCCCAGUGUGAGGUAUCAGGAAAAAUUACUUCCUGACUGGGUGACUUGGAGCUAGAAGCCCCUUGGGGAUUGCAAACCAGUUGGGAAGACUGACACUCAGGAGAAGUCUAAAGGACACACAGCAGAGAUGAGUGAAGCCAAGACUUGACCCCUGAUCUGUCAGGCUCUGGAGGCCAAGUUCUUAACCACUGGUGACCUUGGAGGCCUCAUUGCAAGUGGUGCAACAUCUUCAGUGAUGCUUUGGAGGAAAACGACGUCAUGCAAAUUACUACACAAAUCACUAUUGUUAGUUGGGGUUGGCUCUAAAAAGGAAAAGGUUAAGGUGCCUUGAACACUUUGCCUGGUGAUCCAGGUGAAGGUAAGAGCAUGGACAAGGGCCCUGAAGCAGGAAGGAGGAACCCAAAGCAAACCAGCAUGACUGGAGCAGUGUCCUCUCGGGAAGUGCGGCUGACCCAGCUGCAUCCGUGGGAAGGCCUGGCCCCCACACCUCGCCCGCCCUCCCGGCCCUGUUGAGGCCACAGGAAAUGACCCUCUUAGCCGCCACGAGCUGUGAUCCAGAGGACAAUGACAGAGGGACGGAAGCCUGUUGGUCCCAGCUAACAUGUCCCCUUGGGUGGAUGCCAGCUACUUGAAACACAAAACUGAAGCUUUAGUGGAAAAAUAUAUUUUUAAAAAAACAAACAAACAAUCCUUUGGGCUUUAGCUAACUUCUGAGGCUCUGAGAGGUUUUGUUUUCUUUAUUUAUGUGUGUGUGUUUGUGUUUCAAACAUAGAUAAGGCUCAGAGAAUCAAAGAAUCUAUGGUUUGGAUGUCAGCUGUCCCACCCAACCAGCAGGCCCCCCUGUGGCGUCUGUCUUCAUGUGGCUGAGCCCCACCUCUCCAUACUGCUGCUAAUCAUGUCCCUUGGCUCUAAGCCACUGUCCUCACCCCACCUCCACUCACCACCUAGCAGAUGGAGAGCUCUUCUCAAACCCAGAUCGGGUCACCCCUGUUAGGGCUCUGCAGGCCAGCUCUUUCUCAUUCUUCAGGUCUCAGCUCAAAGGCCACCUCCUCCAAGGGGCGUCCUGACCACUCUCUAUGAAACAGCACCUCUCAAUCGUUCCCUCUCAUAGCACUCAUUGCAUUUCACCCCAUCUGGAAUGAUCUGGUUUGUUUACACAUACCUGGAGCAUAGUAGGUACUCAAUGGAUGUUUGUUGACUGACUGAAUGUUUUUCAGUGGUUGUUGCAUUCAAAUUAGAGUUGGCUCAGAGAAUCUAUGUUUCAUUGUAUUUCAACAAGUAUUACUGGCUACAAAGUGUGUGCCAGGGCCAGGAAGCAAAGCAGUCAGGAAUUCCACUCAUUCAUUCCUUCAUUCAUUUGGAAGAUAGAGCCCUAAGUAGAUAGUGAUUCAGUCUGCAGGGUAGGGGGGUGGGGGGCAGAGACCCAAGAAAGCUUCAUGGAGGAGGGGAUUUGAGGUGGG